rnacentral:lncRNA from 1 species
GCGGAAGGGCAGAGGUGCUGGAGAGAGGCCCCAGGCCCCUCCGCCACCGAGGAAGCAAAGAACCCCGUGAACCAAGUCGCCACUCGAGAUUUUACCCAGUGAGAACAUGUUUAGGACACUUUUCUACAGUGGAAGAAAAGCUUCUGUCUGCAGGUCCAAAGGCACCGUCCUGAGUUGGAAAAAGAUGAAUCAGACCCAGUCCCUCCCUGGAGUUGCUCAGAGGUCUGGAGGAGAAAGGCAUAGAGGGGCCAUGAUUGAUAUGGAGAGAACAGCUUGUGUGUAGGAGAGAUGUGUAUUUCACGAAGACUGUUCAACAUGAAAUUUACAGUCCCAUAAAGUGCUUCUACAUCUUCGCCAGAGAUCUAGUUAAAAGGACUUUACAGUCUGAAACAUCCUAAAAUUGAUUCUAAAUUAACAUUUCCUCACAUGUAUUUGAGAUAUUGAUGGGGCCCAGCUAUCAGAAUUUUAUUAGGAAGCAAUAAUCUGAGGCAUGCGGAGACAGACAUACAUAC